rnacentral:rRNA from 1 species
GACUACUAGGGUAUCUAAUCCUGUUUGCUCCCCACGCUUUCGCACCUCAGCGUCAGUAUCGAGCCAGGGGGCCGCCUUCGCCACUGGUGUUCCUCCAGAUCUCUACGCAUUUCACCGCUACACCUGGAAUUCCACCCCCCUCUUUCGUACUCUAGCUCGGCAGUAUCGAAUGCAGUUCCCAGGUUGAGCCCGGGGCUUUCACAUCCGACUUACCAAGCCACCUACGUGCGCUUUACGCCCAGUAAUUCCGAUUAACGCUCGCACCUUCCGUAUUACCGCGGCUGCUGGCACGGAAUUAGCCGGUGCUUCUUCUGUGGGUAGCGUCACGGCCGAUGGAUAUUAGCCACCAGCUUUUCCUCCCCACUGAAAGUGCUUUACAACCCGAAGGCCUUCUUCACACACGCGGCGUGGCUGCGUCAGGCUUUCGCCCAUUGCGCAAUAUUCCCCACUGCUGCCUCCCGUAGG